AGCCACAUCAUACUGAAACACCAGUUCCUGUACAAUCACCAAAGUUAAGCAACAUCAAGCCUGGUUAGUACCUAGAUGGGUGACUACUGAGAAUACCAUGUGCUGUAA